AAAUAGUGGAUUGGUAUAAUAAAAUGUUUUAGUGAUUUAAUUAAAUAAAUUAUUAUAUAAUUUGAGUAAUGUAAAUGAAUAAUUUUUAAAAUUUAUAUAAGUAAUUUUAAUUUAAUGUACCUUUUGUAUCAGGGUUUAUUAAAAUAUAAAUUUUAUUAAUUUAAAAUUUUUCGAAUGAAAAAGAGUUAAUUAAAUAUAAAAUUUAAUGUUUAAUAAUUAUUUUUAAUAUUUAUUUAGGGAAGAUAUUUUAGUCAAUUUUUUAGAUAUCUAAUUUUUUUUGAUAUAAAUUUAAUUUAUAUAUAAAUAUUAAAAUUUAAAAAUUAUAAAAUUAAUUAAAUUAUUAUUUAAAAAUUUAUUUAUAAUUGGUUUAUAUAAAAAAUUUAUGGGAUAAUCUAUAAAUUUUUUUAAAAAAAAUUAAAAUUAAUUAAUAAAAAUAUUUUUAAAAUUAAAAUUUUUUAAUAAAUAUUUAAUAAUUUAUUUUUGAUUAUAAAAUAAUUUUAAAAUUAUAAAUUUUAGUGUAAAAAAUUUUUAAUUUUAUAAAAAAAUAUUAUAAAUAAUUAUUUAUUGUAAAAAAUAAUGAUAAAAUUAGUAUAAUAAAAUUUAAAAGAAUUAAUUUAAAAUUAUAAAAAUAUUAUUUUUGUUAUAUAAUGAAAAAAGAAUUAGGCAAGUUAAAUUAUUUUUUAAUAAUAAUAAUGAUUUAAAUUAUAAUUAAUAUAUAAAUUUUUAUUUAUUGUUUAUUUUAUAUUUUAAAAAUUAUAUAAAAGAAUAAAUAAAUUAAACUCACCUGUUUAAUAAAAACAUGGUUUUAAAAUAAAAAUUUAAGAUUUAUUCUGCUCAAUGAUGAUAAAAUUAAAUAGCUGCAGUAUUUUAACUGUACUAAGGUAGCAUAAUCAAUUGUCUUUUAAUUAAAGACUAGGAUGAAGGAAUGGAUGAAGUUUAAACUAUUUUAUGAAUUAUAUUAAGAAUUUAUAUUUUAAGUCAAAAUUCUUAAAUAAUAUUAUGGGACGAGAAGACCCUAUAGAAUUUUAUAUAAAUUUUUAAUUUAAAUAAAUAAAAAAAAUUUUUGAAAAAUUUAUAUUUUAUUGGGAGGAUAGUAAAAUUUAAUGAACUUUUAUGAAAUUAUAAAUUAAUUUUUAUUUAGCCAUAGAUUUAUGAGUUUUUGAUUAAAAAUGAUAAAAUAUAUAUUAUUAUAAUUUAUUAUUAGAAUUAAUUACCUUAGGGAUAACAGCAUAAUAUUUUUCUUGAGAUCUUAUUGGGAAAGAUGAUUGUGACCUCGAUGUUGAAUUAAAAUAAAUAUUAAAUGAAGAAAUUUAAUUGGUUAGUCUGUUCGACUAUUGAAUUUUUACAUGAUUUGAGUUUAGAUCGGCGUGAGCCAGAUCGGUUUCUAUCUAUAAUUAAAUUUAAAUAAUUUUGUACGAAAGGACUUUUUAUUUAAAAUUAUUUUUAAAUAAUGAAUAAAAUUAAUUUUAAUUAAAAUUUUAUUAGUUUAAUU
rnacentral:rRNA from 1 species